AGUGAACGCUGGCGGUAGGCCUAACACAUGCAAGUCGAACGGCAGCACAGUAAGAGCUUGCUCUUACGGGUGGCGAGUGGCGGACGGGUGUGGAAUACAUCGGAAUCUACUUUUUCGUGGGGGAUAACGUAGGGAAACUUACGCUAAUACCGCAUACGACCUACGGGUGAAAGCAGGGGAUCUUCGGACCUUGCGCGAUUGAAUGAGCCGAUGUCGGAUUAGCUAGUUGGCGGGGUAAAGGCCCACCAAGGCGACGAUCCGUAGCUGGUCUGAGAGGAUGAUCAGCCACACUGGAACUGAGACACGGUCCAGACUCCUACGGGAGGCAGCAGUGGGGAAUAUUGGACAAUGGGCGCAAGCCUGAUCCAGCCAUACCGCGUGGGUGAAGAAGGCCUUCGGGUUGUAAAGCCCUUUUGUUGGGAAAGAAAAGCAGCAGGUUAAUACCCCGCUGUUCUGACGGUACCCAAAGAACAAGCACCGGCUAACUUCGUG
rnacentral:rRNA from 1 species